ensembl:snoRNA small nucleolar RNA SNORA53
AACACGUUCCUUAGAUCCACCUCUGGAGGGCACUGUUCUUUGAACAGUGUUCCUCAGCAGCUUUUUGGCUGUACAGUUGGAGGUGCUUGAGUCAUUGGCGUGUGAGAACAGUCUACCUGACCCCCAGCCCACAUGCUGCACUGGCAACCCUGUUAUCACACAGGGAGCUCCUAGUGCUGUAAGCCUGGGGGGCGGACACA